UACGUAGGGACCGAGCGUUGUCCGGAAUCAUUGAGCGUAAAGAGCGUGUAGGCGGCCACUUAAGUCCUGCGUGAAAUCUUGCGGCUCAACCGCAAGCGGUCGUGGGAAACUGGGUGGCUAGAGUGCGGGAGAGGAGAGUGGAAUUCCUGGUGUAGCGGUGGAAUGCGCAGAUAUCAGGAAGAACACCCGUGGCGAAGGCGGCUCUCUGGAACGCAACUGACGCUGAGACGCGAAAGCGUGGGGAGCAAACAGG
rnacentral:rRNA from 1 species